rnacentral:tRNA from 1 species
GAGGGUAUAGCUUAGUGGCAGAGCACAUCCUUAGCAUGCACAAGGUCCUGGGUUCAUUCCCCAGUACCUCCA